rnacentral:ncRNA from 19 species
AUCGUAGCAUAGCUGUUCGGUCUCCUAAUAGGAGUGAAAAGGGAAUCUGGUGCAAAGCCAGAACUGACGCGCAGCGGUAAUAGGAUCAAGGAUAAUAAAAGACACUACAAAGUACCUUAAUAAGUACAGUGGGAAGUCAUUAUCUUAAAUACACAAAAUUGUUUAUUUAACCUAGAGUCCGAAGACCUGCCGAAGACCUGUCGCAUCUU